rnacentral:rRNA from 1 species
GACGAACGCUGGCGGCGUGCUUAACACAUGCAAGUCGAACGAAGAGCGAUGGAAGCUUGCUUCUAUCAAUCUUAGUGGCGAACGGGUGAGUAACGCGUAAUCAACCUGCCCUUCAGAGGGGGACAACAGUUGGAAACGACUGCUAAUACCGCAUACGAUCUAAUCUCGGCAUCGAGGAUAGAUGAAAGGUGGCCUCUACAUGUACGCUAUCACUGAAGGAGGGGAUUGCGUCUGAUUAGCUAGUUGGAGGGGUAACGGCCCACCAAGGCGAUGAUCAGUAGCCGGUCUGAGAGGAUGAACGGCCACAUUGGGACUGAGACACGGCCCAGACUCCUACGGGAGGCAGCAGUGGGGAAUCUUCCGCAAUGGACGAAAGUCUGACGGAGCAACGCCGCGUGAGUGAUGACGGCCUUCGGGUUGUAAAGCUCUGUUAAUCGGGACGAAAGGCCUUCUUGCGAAUAGUGAGAAGGAUUGACGGUACCGGAAUAGAAAGCCACGGCUAACUACGUG